rnacentral:rRNA from 1 species
UACAGAGGGUGCGAGCGUUAAUCGGAAUUACUGGGCGUAAAGCGUGCGUAGACGGCUAUCUAAGUCGGGUGUGAAAGCCCCGGGCUCAACCUGGGAAUUGCAUUCGAGACUGAAUAGCUAGGGUACGGUAGAGGGAAGCGGAAUUUCCGGUGUAGCGGUGAAAUGCGUAGAUAUCGGAAGGAACACCAGUGGCGAAAGCGGCUUCCUGGUCCAG